CGGGGUGUGGUAUAACGGCAUUACGCACGCUUCGGGUGCGUGUAAUCCGGGUUCAAUUCCCGGCACCCCGACCA
rnacentral:tRNA from 3 species